AUUUCAAUUUCGGUGGGCGAAGAAGGGCCACAGACUCUGCUUUGAUUCGGUCGCUAUUAGGGUUCCAUCAGGAGUAUGAAAGAAGGGAAUCUGAGGGUGGUCCUCGAUUUCUAGGGUUUUGCGCGCGACCAGUGGGCGGUGGCCUUGCGAUUGGUCGGGUUUCCCACGGAUGAUGGUCGUACGCCCCUCACUGCAAGUCAAUUGAUCAGGCAGUACCAUAAAUUCUAUUUUUGAAGCUUUUGGAAGAAAGUGAGGCAUUGACAGACCAAAACCAAGAAGCUGCAUUUUAUUUUAUGAAUCGGUUUGCAGAUGAACUAUGAGGCAGAUCCACCGGAUCGAACAAAGAUGAGCAGCAACAGCAAGCCUCGGGUUUUGAUCGACACGGUUCAGCGGCAUGUCUUGGCUGACAAGCCUCGGGUGACAAUAUUAGCGAAAAUGGUGGGCAGCAACAGCAGCCACCUGCCGCACCUUCACCUCAAAAUCAUGCCGAUGAUGAUCCUCCAUCCAUCAGACACUCCAAGCAGUGAAUGGUGCGUGUGCUUUGUCAUCUGUAGAUCGUUUGCUGAUUCAAGGAGUAAUCAUCUGGCUAACAUAUAAUUGACUCUUCGAUUCAAUAGUGGUUCUCUAGGUUGGUUAUGAGUUUGGGAGCCGAUAGAACUUGGGCCAAGUUUGGCUCUUAGGUUGUGUUCUACAGUAAUUUCUACAGGUGUUGGUGUAGGGAUGUGCUCACAUCAUUGUUCCUUCAUGUUUCUACAGCACUGACAGUCUUUACUCGUGAUUCUCCUCCAUUUUUGUUUGUUUCACCAUUUAGUUUUCAGCAGCAUGAUCACUUCCUGGAGCAUUGCAAGAAUGAAGGCACUUUUGAACACAAAAGCCAUUGCCAUUGGAGAGCCAAUUAAGUGUUGCAAUGCCAUAUGCAUGUCCGCUCGGUUGUUCGGGAAUGAUACAGAGGCGAAAAAGCCAAGAAGAAGAUGAAGACGAAGGGACAACGCCUUGGGGGGGAACGUACGAUGACGACUACUGUUCCAGUUGAGCAUACCAGAUGCCUUGGAUCUUCACAUCCUUGGGAGUCUUGGCGCCCAGGUCGGUGUCCGAUGGCUGCAGGCUCUCGAACACGCCGAUCACCUCUCCGGUCUCGGGCUUGCUCUUGGUCACGCUCAGCGUGAUAGACCCGGUGGACGACGAGGUGUUCUUGAUGUUCUCCUUGCUCAGCUCCUCCUCGUCUCCCCUGCCUCCGGCCGGCAGAGCCACGGCG